rnacentral:tRNA from 1 species
GGCCCGUUGGUCAAGCGGUUAAGACACCGCCCUUUCAGGGCGGUAACACGGGUUCGAAUCCCGUACGGGUCA